AGGUGAACCUGCGGAGGGAUCAUUACCGAGUUUACAACUCCCAAACCCCUGUGAACAUACCUAUUUGUUGCCUCGGCGGUGCCUGUUCCGACAGCCCGCCAGAGGACCCCAAACCCUGAUUACAUUUAAGAAGUCUUCUGAGUAAACCGAUUAAAUAAAUCAAAACUUUCAACAACGGAUCUCUUGGUUCUGGCAUCGAUGAAGAACGCAGCGAAAUGCGAUAAGUAAUGUGAAUUGCAGAAUUCAGUGAAUCAUCGAAUCUUUGAACGCACAUUGCGCCCGCUAGUAUUCUGGCGGGCAUGCCUGUCCGAGCGUCAUUUCAACCCUCAAGCCCCCGGGCUUGGUGUUGGGGAUCGGCGAGCCUCCGCGCCCGCCGUCCCCUAAAUCUAGUGGCGGUCUCGCUGUAGCUUCCUCUGCGUAGUAGCACACCUCGCACUGGGAAACAGCGCGGCCACGCCGUUAAACCCCCAACUUCUGAACGUUUGACCUCGGAUCAGGUAGA
rnacentral:rRNA from 1 species